rnacentral:rRNA from 1 species
AUGGAGAAAAUCAAAUGGAGACUGCAUAUGAAAGGUUUUGCUGGUGUUUCCAAUGAUGGUUUGAGUGGGGGCUUGGCCCUCUAUUGGUAUGAGAAUUUGCAAGUGACAGUUUUGGAUUCCUGUGCACAGUAUAUAGACGUGCGGAUUGUAGAUGGAGCAAAUGAUAUAUCAUGGAGGAUGACCUAUGUUUAUGGAGAACCACGGGUGGAGAACAGACAUCGUAUGUGGAGCUCUCUGUCAAAUUUACGGGCCUUCUCCUCGGAACCGUGGUUGGUUUGUGGAGACUUUAAUGAAGCUAUGUGGCAACACGAACACCUCUCCCUUACGCAACGGUCUGAAAAUCAAAUGCAACAGUUCAGGGACUGUUUACUCUCUUGUGAGCUGAUGACUUGGGGUUCUCCGGGAUCCUGUACACAUAUGAUAAUGGUCAAGUGGGUAACAGAAACGUCCGUGUUCGUUUGGACAGAACUUGUGCAGAUG